rnacentral:rRNA from 1 species
UACGUAGGGUGCGAGCGUUGUCCGGAAUUAUUGGGCGUAAAGAGCUCGUAGGCGGUCUGUCGCGUCGGUCGUGAAAACUUGGGGCUUAACCCUGAGCUUGCGGUCGAUACGGGCAUGACUGGAGUUCGGCAGGGGAGACUGGAAUUCCUGGUGUAGCGGUUGAAAUGCGUAGAGAUCGGCAGGAACACCCAGGGGAAACCAGUCGACUGGGCAUCUACUGACGCUGAGGUGCGAGAGCGUGGGGAGCGAACCGG